UUUAAAUUUAGAGUUUGAUCCUGGCUCAGGACGAACGCUGGCGGCGUGCUUAACACAUGCAAGUCGAGCGAUGAAGCUUCCUUCGGGAAGUGAAUUAGCGGCGGACGGGUGAGUAACACGUGGGUAACCUGCCUCAAAGUGGGGGAUAGCCUUCCGAAAGGAAGAUUAAUACCGCAUAAUAUAGGAGAAUCGCAUGAUUUUUUUAUCAAAGAUUUAUUGCUUUGAGAUGGACCCGCGGCGCAUUAGCUAGUUGGUAAGGUAACGGCUUACCAAGGCAACGAUGCGUAGCCGACCUGAGAGGGUGAUCGGCCACAUUGGAACUGAGACAC
rnacentral:rRNA from 1 species